rnacentral:lncRNA from 1 species
CAGGACAGUAUUUGGCUUUGGAGAAGAUGAAAGAGAUCCUGAAGGUGCAGGGCCAUGGAGGGCUUCUAAGAUACCAUCUCAAUGUUGUUAUUUCUUAACCUUGAUGGUGUUUGUGCAGGUAUUCUUAUCAUGGUAAAGCAUUCAGUUCUUUAUUUUAUGCACUUCCACAAAUAUAUGCUAUAUUUCAAGUUUGAAAACAGAAAGGUUCAACGCCCCUUCUGGAAAGAUCUAACUGGACAAGACCAAGUCCCACGUUUAUACACUAGUGGCCAAAAUGAGGGGCAUGAAAAAUUUCAGAAGCCAUUGAAUGGGAGUUGACAAUUCUGUAACGUGUAAAGAUUAUGAAGCUUGGAUUCAAAGAGUACCUUGGCAGAGGCAGAC